rnacentral:rRNA from 1 species
GAUGAACGCUGGCGGCGUGCUUAACACAUGCAAGUCGAACGGAAAGGCCCCAUCUUGCUUGGGUACUCGAGUGGCGAACGGGUGAGUAACACGUGGGUGAUCUGCCUUGCACUUCGGGAUAAGCCUGGGAAACUGGGUCUAAUACCGGAUAGGACGAUGGUUUGGAUGCCAUUGUGGAAAGUUUUUGCGGUGUGGGAUGAGCUCGCGGCCUUUCAGCUUGUUGGUGGGGAAAUGACCUACCAAGGAGGCGACGGGUAGGCGGCCUGAGAGAGUGUACGGCCACAUUGGGACAGAGACACGGCCCAGACUGCUACGGGAGGCAGCAGUGGGGAAUAUUGCACAAUGGGCGCAAGCCUGAUGCGACGACGCCGCGUGGGGGAUGAUGGCCUUCGGGUUGUAAACGCCUUUCGCUAGGGACGAUGCGUGUUUGUGACGGUACCUUGAGAAGAAGCACCGGCUAACUACGUG